AUCGACAAAGCAGUCAACCUGAAGUUACUGCUAUACAUGUUUGAAAUGAUGUCUGGGUUAAAAGUUAACUUUCAAAAAAGUGAGAUUUUAACUGUGGGGGGAGAUGAUGCUGUGAUUAAGGAAUAUGCCGACCUCUUCAACUCUGAUAUAGGUAGAUUCCCCAUUAAAUAUCUGGGUAUGCCUGUUAGUUAUACCACUCUGAGAAAUUCUGAUUGGGAGUUCAUUGUUUGCAAAUAUCUGAAAAGAUUUGAAGCCUGGGUGGGUAAUGCUGCCUCCAUGGGAGGGAGACACACUUUAUUAGACUCUCUUGUUACCCAGAUAUCACUGUACCACAUAUCUAUGUGGCUGAUGAACAAAACGUUCAUUGAAAGAUUAGAUAAGCAUAGAAGAAGAUUUUUCUGGCAAGGGUGUAACAAGAAAAAAAGAUAUUAUCUUGUUAAAUGGAGAAGAAUCUGUAGAUCCAAAGAGAAAGGUGGUCUAGGGAUCAAGGACCUGCGCAAACAGAAUAUAAGCCUUAUGGUGAAAUGGUGGUGGAAACUUGAAACACAAAGUGGGGUGUGGCAGGACAUUGUUCGUGCUCGUUACUUACGGAAUAGGACAGUAGCUGAUGUUGGCCCAAAGUUUUCUGACUCCCCCUGUUGGAAAGCCCUGCUGAAAGUCAAGGAAAUUUAUAUGGCUGGUAGAAAAAUUAAUAUUGAGUCUGGGAACAUUGCCAGGGUGUGGGGUGAUCCUAUUAACGGAGUGCCUCUGUUCAAGGAACAAUACCCUCAGCUCUUUGACAUUUGCAAUGCCCCUGAAUGUACAAUCAACCAGGUGUUGAAUGUGGAAAUUGAUUCCUUUUUCAGGCGUAGACUCACUCCCGUUCUAUCAGGACAGUGGGGGCCAUUUUGGAUAUUGUUAACAGACUACCUCUUACUGACAAAGAGGAUCGGGUGGUCUGGAGCCUGA
rnacentral:rRNA from 1 species